rnacentral:rRNA from 1 species
GAUGAACGCUGGCGGCGUGCCUAAUACAUGCAAGUCGAGCGAACAGAUGAGGAGCUUGCUCCUCUGACGUUAGCGGCGGACGGGUGAGUAACACGUGGAUAACCUACCUAUAAGACUGGGAUAACUUCGGGAAACCGGAGCUAAUACCGGAUAAUAUAUUGAACCGCAUGGUUCAAUAGUGAAAGACGGUUUUGCUGUCACUUAUAGAUGGAUCCGCGCCGCAUUAGCUAGUUGGUAAGGUAACGGCUUACCAAGGCAACGAUGCGUAGCCGACCUGAGAGGGUGAUCGGCCACACUGGAACUGAGACACGGUCCAGACUCCUACGGGAGGCAGCAGUAGGGAAUCUUCCGCAAUGGGCGAAAGCCUGACGGAGCAACGCCGCGUGAGUGGUGAAGGUCUUCGGAUCGUAAAACUCUGUUAUUAGGGAAGAACAAAUGUGUAAGUAACUAUGCACGUCUUGACGGUACCUAAUCAGAAAGCCACGGCUAACUACGU